rnacentral:rRNA from 1 species
AUACGGAGGAUCCGAGCGUUAUCCGGAUUUAUUGGGUUUAAAGGGAGCGUAGGCGGGAGAUCAAGUCAGCUGUGCAAUGUAGAUGCUCAACAUCUGCACUGCAGUUGAAACUGGUUUUCUUGAGAGUGCAAGAGGCGGAUGGAAUUCAUGGUGUAGCGGUGCAAUGCUUAGAUAUCAUGAAGAACUCCGAUUGCGAAGGCAGUCCGCUGGGGCACGUCUGACGCUGAUGCUCGAAGGUGCGGGAAUCAAACAGGAUUAGAUACCCUGGUAGUCCGCACGGUAAACGAUGAUUACCCGCUGUCGGCGGCAGACAGUCGGCGGCCAAGCGAAAGCGAUAAGUAAUCCACCUGGGGAGUACGCCGGCAACGGCGAAACUCAAAGGAAUUGACGGGG